ensembl:lncRNA
UUUUUUCUUUUUUCUUUUUUUUUGCCUUUUAUUGAAUCUUUUAUGGAACCCCCCUUUCAUUUUUUUUCUUUUUUUCAUUUUUUUUUUUUUUUGCAUAGGGAAACAAACAAACAAAAUAAUAACAGCCAGAGUCACUUUCUGUAAAUGGUACUUAGGUAGGCGCGUCCGCGGAAAACCGAAAUGACUGCUUAAUAUACAAGGUUAUGAUCGGAGUAUGAUGUGAAGGAGCAGGGCGGGGGAGCCGGGCCAGGAGAAGGCUGGGCCUGGCUCUGCCCCACGUCCCCUGGUCCCCCAUCCUGUCCCCACCUUAGGGAGGAGGAGGGGCACAAGGUGGGUAGUGGGCCUGGCCCGAACCUUCUCAUGACAUGGGUUCAUGAGCAUGGGUGUGUGUGUGUGUGUGUGUCUGUGUGUGUGUGUGUGUUUAUCCAUUGUGUGCAGCAAGCAGAAAGCGAGAAACAGAGAGUAAACUAUCCUGGUAAUAUUGGUAAAAUACAAAAUGGGGAAAAAAAACUCAAAAAAUAUCUGAGGGAAAAGAAUGAACAGCAACACCACUAAAAAAUCUUAGAAAGAAAAGAGAUGAAGAAAAAAGAGGAAAGAAAGUUCAGAGAGGAAAAUGGGUCUCUCCCUCUCUCCCCACCAACCCACCACUGCCCCCCACGACCUGCGUUCUAUCCUCAGGCACUCUGCCUUUCUGUCCCCACGUGCGGUUCUGGGAGGGGGAAGAGGCCAGGACCCCUGGAUUUGAAGGGGCUUUGGUUUCAGGGGGGCCUGGCUGGGACCUGAGGUGGGAGGAUGGGGUGUUGAUGCAUUUGGGGAAUGGGCUUUGGGGGUUCACAACUGGAGGGGGGCUGAGGUGGCCCCGACCCCUUUCCAGUGGGUCCCCUUCUAGCCAGGUGGUGUGAAGCAAGGGCUGCAGGGAGAGUGGUGGCUUGGGCGUGUGUGACUUUCUUCCUCUCCUGGAGCCCUUAGUCCUGCUGGAUCCCGCCUCCUCUUUCCUGAGGCCUGGGGGACCCCCAGGGAGUGGGGGAGGAGAACCCCAAAGCCACACCAGCAGACAUGUGAGGCACUGCUUGGGAAAAGACUGUUUUGGUAUCGCUGGCAACAAGUCCUGCUGGGAUUGCUUUGGGUCUGUCUCCCCCGUCUCGCUUGGGGGGAGAGGGUGGGUGGGGGGUGGGCCUCCGGGCCAGCUCGGACCCCACACGCUCUGAAAUGCUUAGGGAUGGAUGGACGCGGGGGAGGGGGUCUGGCUGCCAGCAGGGUGGUUCCCCCAUGGGGACACCGCCUGGGUCGUGGGUGCACGCGUGGCGUCUGGGGGGCUGGCCAGCGGCCCAGUGAGGGGAGAAGCCCUUGCUCAGGGCCCACCCCUGAGGUCUGUCCGCUGCUUGUGGGCAGGGGAUUCAGAAAUGACCCCUCUGGAGCCCGAGGGUGGGGCCAGGGGUUGCAGAGCACCAGGGGGCACCCCCAAAGCAGCAGGAGGCGUGGAGACAGAGCUGAGGGUGGGCUGGGGGUAGGGCGAUUGUUCCAUGGAUUGAUUUUUUAGCAAUGUGAUUUUUAAGCAUGUGAUUUUUCUUUUUUAAAUUCUUAAUUUCUUUUACAAAUAGAAAUACGUCCCUUUUCAAUUUUUACUUUUUAUUUCAUGUCACUGUCUUUUUUUUUUUUUUUUUUUAAACUACACGAGCAGUGCAUGCAGCUAUCUGUGUGCGCUGAUAUUGUUUAAAGGUAAUACUUAUUUUCGGAAGGCAAGGCACAUCAUGUGGUAGAAAAUUUCGUGCAAAUUAGGAAACAUGGAAUUUUUUUAAGGUUUUUUUUUUUUGUAUCUUUUUUUUCUUUUAAAGAGGAGGGGG